GAGGAAUGAAUGGAUUUUCACCACCAAUGAGUUAAGACAACCAAGAGAGAGUCAAGGGAAGAAGAAAAUCUUCAUAAUAUUCAUUUAAAAUGGUCCAAAACCGUGCACCAAGCAAGCACCCAUGAGAGCAUGUCCAAAACAAGAAAAACCCUAGGAGAAUGAAACCAAAAACGUAGGAUGAGUUUCUAAGUGUGUGGCUCGGUAUUCACAUCCUAUAUGACCAAGAAUUACAAUUUGGUAGGGUCCACACACUACAAGUCAGCCCUAAAGAGAUGCCACAUAGCCCCCACAAUUUGGUUUUUACAAAAAUGUCCCUAAAGGGCUCCAAAACACCUAAUUCUAAUUAAGGGCUUCUAGAAAACGAAAUUACAAUUUAAUUAAAAAGGAAAUGACUAAAUUUUAAGUCUUGAAUGAUCACGCCACCUUCCCUAAUGCUC
rnacentral:lncRNA from 1 species